UUUUCUGGCCUCCCCCAAAUCGUCCUCUCUCUCCCCUCUAUGUAGGGGAACGGCGACCUCCCCGAUCCCCUCCCCGACUCGCUGGACGAGGCAACGACUGCGCCCGGAAAACUCCCUCCCGCCACCACGCCACUGCCGUCGCUGCAUCAUCAGAUUUUGGUAAUGGACGAUCAGAGUUAUUUUGAUCUUUUGCAAAAUGAUGUCGGAUUGAAUGAUUUGCACUGGACCGAAGAACAACAUGUCGAUCUUGAAGGGCCUGAAGAACAACAAACUGAUCUUGAGGGGCAUGACGAAGAACAAACUGAUCUCGAAGGGCCUGCAGAACCUACCCCUCCUAUGACAGCAAGGUCUUCGAAAGCAAAGGCGAAGAAAGUAAGCGCUUCCAAAGCAAGUGCUUCGAAGAGGCAAAAGAAUUUCAGCAAGGCUGAAGACUUAACUUUGGUGGAUGCGUACCUCGAGAUAACUCAAGAUCCAAUCAUAGGAGUAGACCAAUCUCGUGAUUGUUAUUGGAAAAGAAUCGAUGCUUACUUCCAUGCCAAUAAAUCUGAAGACCAUGGUCGCACACAAGGUUCUCUUCAGCAUCGUUGGGCUAUUAUUCAAGAACAAGUGAAUAGGUUAAAGAUGCAGCAUGGCGGGCUCAAAGUUCUUCCAGUACAGUUAAUAGUAGUGCCAUGGAAUCAUUUGGGGGUAUCUUGGAGACAAGGGAGUCAAAAAGACAAGAGCGAUUUGAGCUCAUGAUUGCAAUGGACAAACAGAGAGAAGAAGAUAGGUUGGUAGAA